GCCAGCUCAGUUGGUAGAGCGCUCCACUGGAAUUGGAGAGGUCCUUGGUUCGAUAUCAGGAUCAGGCG
rnacentral:tRNA from 1 species